GCCGACGUGGCUCAGUGGUAGAGCGUUUUCUUGGUAAGAAAAAGGUCGUGGGUUCAAUUCCCACCGUCGGCU
rnacentral:tRNA from 1 species